GACGAGAAGACUACCUCAAACGGGGAAAAGAGAAGAUAGUGGAGUAAAUUGCAAAAUUACGAUAUUUUGCACCGAGACAAUGACAUCAAUCAGCUCGAAACUUGGACGACGUCAGAUAAUCAUCCACACUAUCAUCAACUUUUUGGGUACAGUUAGACUUGAAGCGCUAAAGUCGAGCUAGGAGAUCUCUCAUUUCAUCACAUCUCCAAGAGCUACAAGAGUAGGUACUAUAUUUUGAGUUAAAAUGACAUGUACAUAGGUAGACCAAAUGUGUUCCCAAGUGUCAGGGACUAAAAUGCUAACUCUUAAAACUUUAUUUAUUUUGGUAUUUUAAAUUGAAAUAUUUUAGUUCGAUAUGAAA